rnacentral:rRNA from 1 species
UACGUAGGGGGGCAAGCGUUGUCCGGAUUCAUUGGGCGUAAAGAGCGUGUAGGCGGCCAGGUAGGUCGGUUGUGAAAACUGGAGGCUCAACCUUCAGAGGUCGACCGAAACCACCUGGCUAGAGUCCGGGAGAGGAGAGUGGAAUUCCGUGGUGUAGCGGUGAAAUGCGCAGAUAUCAGGAAGAACACCCGUGGCGAAAGCGGCUCUCUGGAACGGUACUGACGCUGAGACGCGAAAGCGUGGGGAGCGAACAGG